rnacentral:rRNA from 1 species
UACGAAGGGUGCAAGCGUUACUCGGAAUUACUGGGCGUAAAGCGUGCGUAGGUGGUUUGUUAAGUCUGAUGUGAAAGCCCUGGGCUCAACCUGGGAAUUGCAAUGGAUACUGGCAAGCUAGAGUGCGGUAGAGGGUAGUGGAAUUCCCGGUGUAGCGGUGAAAUGCGUAGAGAUCGGGAGGAACACCAGUGGCGAAGGCGGCUACCUGGACCAGCACUGACACUGAGGCACGAAAGCGUGGGGAGCAAACAGG